UGUUGACUACCGCUCCGAACUGCCUAGUUGCAGAGAGUCAUCCCCAGUGCUACGGCCUCCUUCCUUUCCGUAAAGCGCUCCAGUCGAAGUUGAUGUGGUGCCACAAGAAGUCAUGCAAUCUUCACUAAAAGGAAUGAAGAUUUAAAGCAUCCCUCACAGGCCGGAGACAAAGGGCUGAUUCAUCCAAGGCCUCGCCUCUCCAGAACAAGACAAAAGGGGUAAAACAAUCAUUGGGCGACUUCCAUGGCUUCCUUCCAUCAGUGCCACUGUACCUGUCAAUUGAGGUCUUACCAGACAUGGUUAGAUCUAUCUGUACUUGUCUAAUACUGUCUGGUAAUGCCGUCCAUUGCAGGGAGAGACAUCUCCUCUUCGAAUCUUCUCCCAUCAUCUCCUGCAUUAUGGUAAUAUUAAAAGCUAAUUGCCAUAAGUGGACCAUAGAUUAGAAAUAUUAGCAUUCAUGCUAUAGACUAGUAGCAUUAGUAAGCAGUGCAUAGUCAAGUACAGUAGCUUUGGUAAGGAGAAGACAGCUUAGUAAUAGUGAUAAUCAUAAUGCAUUAUACUUUUCAUACAGUCUGCAGUGUUUAAUAACUUAAUUCUUUGCAAUGGAUUUGUAUAUAAAUACCUACAUAAUGCGUGUGUAUGUUUAUAUAUAUAAUCUUUGGAUAUCUUGCAUACAGUUUGUGUUUUGUUAAGUUUCUGAACAUUGUGCAUAGUAUGGCUGGGACAAAAUAUUUCUUAUAUAUUUUGUAAUAUUUUUAAAUAUCAUUUUAAAUAUUUUUUUUCAUAUCAGUUGAUAUAGAUACUUAUCAAUCAUAUAAUUCAAGUCAUUAUUUCUUUACUUCUAGUUUCAAAUUUUAUUUUAAAUUACUUUAAUAUAUAUUCAGAACAUGAAAAAAGGAGAAAUUGAUGGACUCCAAAUCAAAAUCUAAUUUUAAUAAAUGAAUCACACAAAAAUAAACAUUUUUGUUAUCGAAAAUGCUGGCAGUGUGUUUUUUGGUCUUUUUUUCCCUGACUGCUUUGCUCUAUGAUUGGUUGAAAUUGCAUUUGUUUCUGUGACAUGGUAUGCUGUUAUAAUAAUUGAUAUUUUAUUGAUCCCUGUGGGGAAAUUCUCUUCGUGCCCCUCCCAACUUUCUCUCUGUAGGUGAAAGCAAGGGCAGCCGCCUAUAACAGAGCCCAGGGCGCUGCUGCUUGAGGGCCUCGCUUAAAAACGCAAUUGGGCCCAGACCGGGCUUCAGCUGGCAACCUUAUAGGUCAGAGGCACCAAGGUCCAGCCCACUGAGCCCCACACUGCCUCCAUAUAGCCACAUGCUGUCAUGCAUUGUCCCUUAUCUAGAGUUUAUUGACGUUUCUCAUUUUCUUAUCAUUUAAAUUGUACUUGACAAUAAGUCGAUAUAUCAUUUAUAUCGCCCAGCCCUACUACCUAAGUAAUUAUGUUAACUAUUGCAUAUUAAAAGUGACUGCUGUGAUAUUUUUUUCAUGUGUCCCAUUUCAUGUAAUGGAUUGAUUGUAUGGAUUAUUCAUUUAGUAAUGAACUAUAUAUUCCUGUUUUAAGUCAUGUAGUGAUAAGCAUAGUUCACAUUAUGAAUAAAGAUAUUAAAACAUUCUUAAACAUUAA